rnacentral:pre_miRNA from 1 species
ACAUUUGGUUCGUGUUAUGGUGUGACAAUGUAGGCACAUUGGGUGACCUUGGGUGUGCCUACAUUGUCACUCCAUAACAUGAACCCAAU